AGCUUUGCAGAGUGGCAAUAUCGUAGCCAAUGAGGUUUAUCCAAGGUGCAAUUAUUGCUAAUUGAAAAAAAAUUCAUCAAACUAUACAUAAGAGUGUAUGAUCUACCUCAAUAAACCUAACGUUAGCAAAUGAGCUGCUCA